GCCGCAGAGGCGCCGGGCUACCGGAGCGGGAUGGAGCCGAGCGGGACGGAGGCGGGGCUAGAGCGAAGAUUCCCGUGGGAGCGCUGAGCUUUGCUGGUGCUCCCUGGGAAAUUCAUAAGGAUUGGAGGGCAAGGGGUCUCUGGCUCUGUUCCUGGUUGCAUCACCCUGAAAGCUAAUGGCACGGUUCAAACAACUUUUGGCUCACACCAGUACUAGUCACCAGACCUGGACUGAAACAAGCCCCAAAGGCCAAGGAGAGUGUGCCAUCAGCAUGAUCCCAGCUCCUGAUGGACAGUCCUAUGGCUGUUAGGGAAGAUGUCUAUAGGAUGCCAGAGACUGCAAAACAAAUAAACAAACAGAUAAAUUGGUGGGCACUCCAUCUAGACCACUUGAGUCUGAAGCCAGGCCAUGCUACCUACUAGCAGUGGGACCCUAGGUACGUUGCUUGGUUUUUCUCUAUCUCCAUUGCCUUAUCUGUAGA